UUCAUAGGUCGUUCACUCGUUCACCUUGCAUACUAUUAUCUAAUUAAAUGUACAAGUCACAAAAAGGUCUGAAGUUAUAAAAUUUGCAUCACAGUACUAUAGAUGCAAUAAUUUUUAGCUACAGCUACAAGCGAAGAUUUUGUUGGUUGACGAUUCCAUCAGUUGAGUGUAAAAGCUGAAUGUUUUAAAGGCGGUGCAGCUGCUCAUCUGAUGCGUGCCUUCGUGGUGUAGUGGUUCUGCACUCUGGGCCGGUAUUCCAGAGGACCGUGUUCGAUUCCCGGCGAAGGCGUUGCUCAUUUUUCAUCUUUCCUGCUCCCCAAAAUACCGAAUGUCUCUACAGUGGCCCCCGAACUAAAAGGCUGUUGGAUGAUGAGUGAGUGAAUGCACCGCUAUGAUGGCUUCCGACCACGGACAUGAACCAAACGGAAUUAUAUACCAUCACGGCGGAGAAGACUCCAAAGUAACAAGGUUGA